CUUGGUCAUUUAGAGGAAGUAAAAGUCGUAACAAGGUUUCCGCAGGUGAACCUGCGGAAGGAUCAUUAUUGAAUGAACUUGGUGUGGUUGUUGCUGGCCCUUUCGGGGGCAUGUGCACACCCAUCAUCCUCAUCUCUCCACCUGUGCACCUCUUGUAGACUUGGAUUGACUUUCCGAGGCAACUCGGUCGGGAGGACUUGCUGGCAUUAGCUGGCUUUCCUUGCAUUUCCAAGUCUACGUUUUUCAUAUACCCCAUUGAAUGUAACAGAAUGUAACAUAUUGGGCCUUUGUGCCUAUAAAAACUUAUACAACUUUCAGCAACGGAUCUCUUGGCUCUCGCAUCGAUGAAGAACGCAGCGAAAUGCGAUAAGUAAUGUGAAUUGCAGAAUUCAGUGAAUCAUCGAAUCUUUGAACGCACCUUGCGCUCCUUGGUAUUCCGAGGAGCAUGCCUGUUUGAGUGUCAUUAAAUUCUCAACCAUUAUCAGCCUUUGCUGAUAAUGGCUUGGAUAUGGGGGUUUAUUUUGCUGGCUUCUUCACAGAUUGUCAGCUCCCCUUAAAUGCAUUGGCCGGUGCCCCGCGUGGACUGUCUAUUGGUGUGAUAAUUAUCUACGCCGUGGACAUCUACAAUCAUAUGGGUUUGCACUGCUUCCAACCGUCUGUUUAUUCAGACAAUACAUGACAAUUUGACCUCAAAUCAGGUAGGACUACCCGCUGAACUUAAGCAUAUCAAUAAGCGGAGGA
rnacentral:rRNA from 1 species